rnacentral:rRNA from 1 species
ACGCACGCUGGCGGCAUGCCUAACACCUGCAAGUCGCACGCGACCUUCGGGUCUAGUGGCGCACGGGUGCGUAACGCGUGGGAACCUGCCCUUAGGUUCGGAAUAACUCCCCGAAAGGGGUGCUAAUACCGGAUAAUGUCUUCGGACCAAAGAUUUAUCGCCUUUGGAUGGGCCCGCGUUGGAUUAGCUAGUUGGUAGGGUAAAAGCCUACCAAGGCGACGAUCCAUAGCUGGUCUGAGGGGAUGAUCAGCCACACUGGGACUGAGACACGGCCCAGACUCCUACGGGAGGCAGCAGUGGGGAAUAUUGGACAAUGGGCGAAAGCCUGAUCCAGCAAGGCCGCGUGAGUGAUGAAGGCCUUAGGGUUGUAAAGCUCUUUUACCCGGGAUGAUAAUGACAGUACCGGGAGAAUAAGCGCCGGCUAACUCCGUG